AUGUGCCCCUGUGCUCGCAGCGCGCUGACGAUGACACGUUCCAGCGCAGCUUGUGUGCGUUGCUGCUGUCGCCUCCAUCCUCACCCGCUCCAUCCUCACCCGCCUCCAUCCUCACCCGCCUCCACUCUCACCCGCCUCCAUCCUCACCCCGCCUCCACUCUCACCCGCUCCAUCCUCACCCGCUCCAUCCUCACCCGCCUCCAUCCUCACCCCGCUCAAUCCUCACCCGCUCCAUCCUCACCCCCCGCCAUCCUCACCCGCCUCCAUCCUCACCCCUGCCAUCCUCACCCGCUCAAUCCUCACCCGCCUCCAUCCUCACCCCGCUCCAUCCUCACCCGCCUCAAUCCUCACCCGCCUCCAUCCUCACCCGCUCAAUCCUCACCCGCCUCCAUCCUCACCCGCUCCAUCCUCACCCGCCUCAAUCCUCACCCGCCUCCAUCCUCACCCGCUCCAUCCUCACCCGCUCCAUCCUCACCCGCCUCCAUCCUCACCCGCCUCCAUCGCCAGCACCGGCGCGGAGGCUCGGACCCCGACAGCAUCCCAAUAUCCAAAACCUUCACUCAGCAGUUAUUGCAGCCGAAUGGAACCGGGGCCUUCAUCCCAAAACACAAAGCAAAAGGAGAGGAGACCAAAAAGAAAUCAGAAGUGAAGCUGCGGCCCUACGAGUGCAGCCUGUGCGGGAAGAAAGUCAUCUGGAAAGACAGCUUCCUCAGGCAUCAGGCGCGAUGCGAGAGACUGGCCUGCAGCUCCUCAGGUCACAGUAACAAUGCGAGCGCUGCGGCAGCAGAUACUGAGGAUGGCUACGGCUACGGGUGUGAUGAUGGCGAGGCCUUCCUCACCACCGCAGGACAGGUUAAAGUGGAGGAGGUGGACUUUCGCAGUGAGAUGGAGGGCAGGAUGGGGGGUCUGUUGGGCAGCGUGCCCGGCAUCAUGAACGAGCUGAGAACACAGUCGCAGCACCUGGACACCGGCAGCCAUGUUUUUAAAGAGGAGGCCAGUGAGAGCUUUAGUGGAAAUUAA
rnacentral:lncRNA from 1 species